rnacentral:rRNA from 1 species
CCUACGGGUGGCAGCAGUGAGGAAUAUUGGGCAAUGGCCGAGAGGCUGAACCAGCAAAGUCGCGUGAGGGAAGACGGCCCUACGGGUUGUAAACCUCUUUUUUCGGGGAGCACAACGAGUCACGUGUGACUCAUUGCGCGUACCCGAAGAAACAGCAUCGGCGAACUCCGUGCCAGCCGACGAGGUAAUACAGAGGAUGCGAGCGUUAUCCGGUUUUAUUGGGUUAAAAGGGGGAGCAGGCGGAGGUGCAAGUCAGCGGUAAAAUUGCGGGGCUCAACCCCGUACGGCCGUUGAAACUGCAUCCCUUGAGUGCGCGAGAAGUAUGCGGAAUGCGUGGUGUAGCGGUGAAAUGCAUAGAUAUCACGCAGAACUCCGAUUGCGAAGGCAGCAUACCGGCGCGCAACUGACGCUCAGGCACGAAAGCGUGGGUAUCGAACAGGAUUAGAUACCCGAGUAGUC